rnacentral:snRNA from 1 species
AUACUUACCUGGUGCCGAGGCCUCAUUGAUUACCAAUGACGAGGCCCAAGGGGGAAGCGGGGGCAUUGCACUGCACCCGCAUCGACCCCUGCCACUACUCCAAUGUGGGGCAGAUGGGGAAUGCAAUUUGCUGAAAUCAGGUUCAACGGAAGAAGGCAUUGCGUAUCCGCCUUGA